rnacentral:rRNA from 1 species
UACAGAGGGUGCAAGCGUUGUUCGGAAUUAUUGGGCGUAAAGCGCGUGUAGGUGGCUUACUAAGUCGGACGUGAAAUCCCUCAGCUUAACUGGGGAACUGCGUCUGAGACUGGCAAGCUUGAGUGCAGGAGAGGAACGCGGAAUUCCAGGUGUAGCGGUGAAAUGCGUAGAUAUCUGGAGGAACACCGGUGGCGAAGGCGGCGUUCUGGACUGUAACUGACACUGAGGAACGAAAGCCAGGGGAGCAAACGGG